AGAGGGUGUCGCGUGGCCUUCUGGGAAAUGCAGUUUACCUGCGAGGCUGGAACCGCCGUUCAACGUACCCACAAGACUACGUGCUCCACAAUGCACAGCGCGCGCGGCGGCUGAGCGGUGCGUUGCUGCCCCCACGUGGCGGCGGAGCGAUUAUGUCCAAACCUGAGAAUAGGGCUGAGAGAGAGGAGACAAAAUUCCAAAGCCUGGACUGUAUCUGAUUCACAGGUGGAAGCAGAUCAUUCUGAGCCCCAGAAAAUAAUGUAGGCAUAAGAUUAAGUCUGCUUGUGUGUCACCAGAUGGAGGACAGCUGCCAACCAAGCAGGACACCUGUGGCAAGAAAUCAACUAUUGUAUCAAGUCACUGAAAUCAAGGGAGUUCUUUGUUACAGUAGCUGACAUUAUACUCAGUGAUACUCUGACCCUUCCCCUCCGGUCCCUGAUAUCAGGAAACCCCAAGCACCCCCUGUCAUUCUGUGAAAUGAACCUCUAAUAUUCA